rnacentral:rRNA from 1 species
GAUACGUCUUCAGAGUUUGAUCCUGGCUCAGGAUGAACGCUAGCUACAGGCUUAACACAUGCAAGUCGAGGGGCAGCAUGAAUAUUGGCUUGCCAAUAUUUGAUGGCGACCAGCGCACGGGUGAGUAACACGUAUCCAACCUUCCGGUUACUCGGGGAUAGGCUUUCGAAAGAAAGAUUAAUACCCGAUGUUGCGUAUCUUUCUCCUGAAAGAUACGCCAAAGGAUUCCGGUAACCGAUGGGGAUGCGUUCCAUUAGGCAGUUGGCGGGGUAACGGCCCACCAAACCUUCGAUGGAUAGGGGUUCUGAGAGGAAGGUCCCCCACAUUGGAACUGAGACACGGCCCUU